UACGGAGGGUGCAAGCGUUAUCCGGAUUUACUGGGUUUAAAGGGUGCGUAGGCGGACAGUAAAGUCAGUGGUGAAAUCUUCGAGCUUAACUCGGAAAUUGCCAUUGAUACUAUUUGUCUUGAAUACUUUGGAGGUAAGCGGAAUAUGUCAUGUAGCGGUGAAAUGCUUAGAUAUGACAUAGAACACCAAUUGCGAAGGCAGCUUGCUAAACAGUUAUUGACGCUGAGGCACGAAAGCGUGGGGAUCAAACAGG
rnacentral:rRNA from 1 species